rnacentral:lncRNA from 1 species
CGAUUUUCUCCCAAGAAAUGGUCAUGGAAGCUUGAAAAAUUUCAGCAACUUUAAGCCUUCAUAGGUAAGUGUUUCUAAUGAGAUUUCUUGAAGAUUUUUACAUUUUUAAGAUUCUUGUGUCAUGACCUUUCUAAUGAAUGGACUAUUUUACAAGAUGAACAAGAUUCUAGGGUUUUUCCAUGAGAGCAUUUAGGUUGUUUUCUGAAAUUUUAUAGAAGAAUAUGAUCCUUUGGUGAGUAAUAAACAACUUUUGUGAAGGGGUUUCUCAUGAAAACCCUAAUAGGUACUAUUAUACAUGAGUUAUAAAAUAGAUGAUAAAUGUGUGAAAUAGUGGAAAUGGUGAAUUAUUAUAAGAGUAAAAAGGGUUCGGCUAGGCUUAUAGUAUGAACAAAUUCGAUAAAAAUUAAUUUUCAAGCAUAGGGGUAAAAUGGUCAUUUUGUGAAAGUCUAAGGGCAAAAUAGUCAUUUUGCCUAAUUAUGAACUUUCGGGCAUCUAAAUUGAUAUGCUGAUGAAAUAAAUGAAUUUUAUUAAUUUAGAUUAAGAGAAACGUGAUUCGGGGCUUGAUCGGGGUAAGAAUAAAGUUUACGAGGAUUAAGCUCGUCUUCAUCAUUUUGUAUUGAGGUACGUACAUAUGUAAAUAAUGUGUUAUUGAAGCUCACUUUGGUAUAUUUUAGUAAUAUACAUUUCUAAUUAGCUUAUUGUUGUUACGUAUUUAAAUUCUAAUUGUUGCCAUGAAUGUUUAAAUGACAUGUUGUGUGAGUAAAUUACAAUGUGCGUAAAUGCGAUGCUAUUCGAUUAGAUAUGAAGUCCCGUCAAACCUUAGACAUAGCAUAGGAUACAAAGGGGCAUGUUAUGAAAAUUAUGUGGUCUGAACUCAUGAGUUAAGUCUGAGUUCAUGAGAUAAAUGUUAUAGGUAACGUGGGUUAGGGUACUGACUUUAUGUACAGACCCAUGAGUGGCUCAAUGAACAUACGUUACAUGAUAGCUAUGGGGUCCAGGUACUGACUUAAUAAAAAGGCCCUUGAGUAGCUCAAAUGUGAGCGUUUCAUAGCACGAGGUAGCCCUGAUUUCUUAUAUGGCAAUUUAGACGCAAACUCCUCGCGUAUCCUUAUGUAUUUCGAGAGUUUAACGGGUAACCGAAGAUUUAGUUGGUGAAUACUUUGAUAAGGUAUGUAUUCCAAACUCAUAGUUAAGACCUGAGUAAAGGACUAGGUGUAUUAAGUAUACAUGAAUGAAAAGAAGAAUAAGGUAGAGACGUUAAGUGAUUUAUAUCUUUUAAGCAUGGCAAGCUACCGUUGGAUGAAUAUGAUUUUCUUAUAAUUACACUUUAUUUGUAUAUAUGUACUUACUAAGCUCCCACACUUACCCUCAUUUCUUUUCUCUCCUUAUAGUGCCACCAAGCUAGCAUCGGGGAUCCAGUGACAUCAAAAGCUUCAAUCACACUAUCACUCAAGAUCUUGGUAUAGCUAGUUUCAUUGUUAUGUUUUCUAGCAUGUAUAGGGACUCGAGUUGUUGUUUAGUGUUUUGUUAGUUAGCCAUAAUGUGUUGGCCAAUAUGAUAAAUAUGAUACUCAUUUUGUAUAAGGCCAUGGAUGAUGGUCAAUACUCCUUUUGAUUUAUAAAUAGAAGAUGAUAUUUUC